rnacentral:lncRNA from 1 species
CUGAAAAGAAAGCCAACUUGUGGGUGACUGGUGCCUGCCCAGCCCAACCACUGAAUACCUGACUACUCUGUUCUGUUUCGUUUGUGGCUACUGUAGAGACCUGAUGGCCAUCUCUGUGGCCAGCCUGAGACAUGUCGAUGAGCCAGUCCUGCCCAGACUAGCUGCUUAGAGCUCUGCACAUCCCUGGCCUGAACCUGGGCCUGCUGGCACAACUAUACCACUCUGGUCUGUUAUCAGGUGCUCAAUAGCCUGCCUGAAAUGUUGCAGAAAUUGCUUGAUCAGAUGCUGUGUCUAUACCACCCACAAGCGCCACCUUCGGGUAGUUUCUCAGUACGGUUGCAGAAAUUUGGGGCCAUCUGGACUUUGCAUGUGAGUGGAAAUGUACAACCACCUCUCCUUGAGCUGCCUUGGCGAUACGGUACAAGAACCUUCCGAGAAACACUUGUGUUUCUGGUGAUGCUUUGCCCUGGAGAUUUGAUUAUUUUUUUAUGACCAAAUAGUAAAAGGGGCCUUUCUAGUGCCAUUUGGUGGCCCCAAAUGGAAAAUUUCUGGACUGAAAACUCAAUUCAGCUGAGAAACUGGUUAGACCAAUUAGCC